AAUGGCCAAAGCCAGAAGCCCAAGCAUUGUCCAUUAUACCUCCCCCUCCACACCCUCAACCCAACUGGUCACCAAGGCCAGGGAGGCUUGUCCUCAAUGUCCUUCAACUCUGUCUGUUGCUCACAUCUUCCUUGGGUGACUACAUUCUCCUCCUCACUGUUUGCCCUGCAUGGGAACUUCCUCUUUCCCAAAUCCAACUUCCCACAGCAGCUGGGUGACAUUUACUAUUUCCUGCAGCUCUCAGAUGUAGCUCCCCGUUACCUUCAGAAGGCAGUUCAAACACCUUGGCCAGCCUUAAAACCCCUGCUCGGUCCAGUGACCUCGCCCCUGUUCCUACACAUUCCAGGCGCUGUCUCGGGAUGUAGCUCUGACCACCCCGCCACUUUCUCACACUGGUAAGUUGAGUUUCCAGCCAGGAAUGAGACCUUUGGGCCUUGCUGAUCCUUCACGGCUGAGGCUGGAACAUACAUGGAAACCGCCUGAGUAAUCCUAUGGCGACCCUGCACAGCCUGAUGGGGCAUGAACUGGAAAUUCCCUAUAACAUUGCUAAUUAAAUGAUUCCUCCUGCCUUCUUCUCCUUUUA